GUCCUUUUGACUUUAAUUUAAGGUUUAACCUGCCCACUGAAAUUAUUUAAAGGGCCGCAGUAAUUUGACUGUGCAAAGGUAGCAUAAUCAUUAGUUUUUUAAUUAAAAGCUUGUAUGAAGGGUUGGACGAGGUAAAAUCUGUCUCUAUUUAAUUUAUUUUAGAAUUUAAUUUUUAAGUUAAAAAGCUUAAAUUUUUUUAAAAGACGAGAAGACCCUAUAGAUCUUUAUAUUAUAUUUAUUAAUUUUAAUUAGGAAUAUUUUAUUUUUUAAUAUUUAUAUUAUUUUAUUGGGGUAAUAAAAAGAUUAAAUUAAUUCUUUUUUAUUAUAACAUUAAUUAAUGAUUAUAUGAUCCAUUUUUAUUGAUUAAAAGAUUAAGUUACCUUAGGGAUAACAGCGUAAUUUUUUUAGAGAGUUGAUAUCGAUAAGAAAGUUUGCGACCUCGAUGUUGGAUUAAAAAUUAUCUUAGGUGCAGAAUUUUAAGAUUUUGGUCUGUUCGACCAUUAAAUUUUUAGA
rnacentral:rRNA from 1 species